rnacentral:lncRNA from 1 species
GGCCUCCAUCUUGAAAACGGAAAAUAAAAACAGCAGACCUAUGAAGGUCGAAGGGGAAGAAAAGCUGUAUCGAUUGUUGAGAUCUGGCGACUUGUUUAAAUUUCAUCAGCCUCACUUCUAUGAACUCUCAGGGUCCUCGUAAGAACUUCCAUUUUAUGUUCUUGUCUUCUCAUCAGUUUGAGUUGUGUCUUUAACAUUGGAGAGAAAAACAACUUGCAAGAUUUUCUUUCAGUAUGAACCAUUCUGAGGUCCUUCAAUUCUUUAGCUGAUUACCAACUCCUACCACUGUUAACCCUCAUCCAGGAACAAGCUUAUGUCUUUAACAUUCUGAGUGGGCUUCAGCAUCCUUGCAUAUGUUCAAUUCUUAAAAACCUGUUGAAAUAAAAGAUCAGGAGACAUAGGAAGGAUGCCAGAAGAGAGCGUGGCCUCACGUGUACCAGCUCUCUGCUCUCCUUUGCCUUGGGACGUUCCAUCCCUGGAAGUUUCCCUGCCCACAUCUUUGUAGAGAGUCCAUUCUCCAAGCUUCAGUGUGUCAUCUGUGAGGACCGUGACCCACCUGGUACAUCGCCUCAGGGCAUUCAUUUCAGGCUCCUUCUAAAUGGCCAAGUACACUCAUGGCCUUGAAUCUUCAUCCACUCAGAGCUCCAUGUGUAUUCUUCCAAGCCAUUGCUCUAUACCCGGAACCGCCUUUUCUUGAACACACCACAGGAUACCUCACCCAUCUGUUCUGUGAAGCAUUCCAAUGACAAUAACCACCUACCAUUUUGUGCUAUUAUACAGUUAUCUCCUUCCCCUUCAUCCUGUUGGUAUUGUGUAUAUUACUUAAGAUGAGCACUCUAGUUCUUUAUUUGCUUGUAAAUUAUAAGUGGUGGUGUGGUUUAUAAACUCAUGAAAAUUAUAUUUCACUUGGGAUGAAACUGGUAGAACCAUUUAUAAUAACAUCAUGUUGUUAUGUGGUAUAUAUAUUAUAUAUAGGUAUAUAUAUACACCAAUAUGAAGAGUGAAUUACAUUGUAGGUAGGGUAAUAGAUUAGCUCAAUUGUUUAGUAUAACGUCAAGCUAUUUGUGGUUCAGGUGUGAGCCCCAUAGGACUAGUUACCUUACUAUUUGCUAUAGUUGAAAACUAUAGCUCUACAAUAAGCGGCUGUUUUAAGAUGAAGAUGGUGUUACACGUAGUAUGGCAGAGACAGAGUGAUAUACUCUAAGGAACAUUGUUCAGCUAAUCAGACCUGGGUUCAAAUUCCAUCACCACUGUUUACUUGCUGUGUGCUUCCAAACAAACCCUGUAAAUCUGUUUUCUAAAAUAAAAAGUUAUGA